AACGAACGCUGGCGGCAGGCCUAACACAUGCAAGUCGAACGCCCCGCAAGGGGAGUGGCAGACGGGUGAGUAACGCGUGGGAACCUUCCCAACGGUGCGGAAUAGCUCAGGGAAACUUGGGGUAAUACCGCAUACUGCCGAGAGGCCAAAGAUUUAUCGCCUUUGGAUGGGCCCGCGUCGGAUUAGCUAGUUGGUGAGGUAACGGCUCACCAAGGCGACGAUCCGUAGCUGGUUUGAGAGAAUGACCAGCCACACUGGGACUGAGACACGGCCCAGACUCCUACGGGAGGCAGCAGUGGGGAAUCUUGGACAAUGGGCGCAAGCCUGAUCCAGCCAUGCCGCGUGAGUGACGAAGGCCUUAGGGUUGUAAAGCUCUUUUGCCGGGGACGAUAAUGACGGUACCCGGAGAAUAAGUCCCGGCUAACUUCGUGCCAGCAGCCGCAGUAA
rnacentral:rRNA from 1 species